rnacentral:rRNA from 1 species
GACAGAGGGUGCAAACGUUGUUCGGAAUUACUGGGCGUAAAGCGAGUGUAGGCGGUUCGCUAAGUCGGGUGUGAAAGCCCUGGGCUCAACCCAGGAAGUGCACUCGAAACUGGCAGGCUAGAGUACUGGAGAGGUUGGUGGAAUUCUCGGUGUAGAGGUGAAAUUCGUAGAUAUCGAGAGGAACACCGGUGGCGAAGGCGGCCAACUGGACAGAUACUGACGCUGAGACUCGAAAGCGUGGGGAGCAAACAGG